UACGUAGGGUGCGAGCGUUGUCCGGAAUUAUUGGGCGUAAAGGGCUCGUAGGCGGUUUGUCGCGUCGGGAGUGAAAACCAUGGGCUUAACUCAUGGCUUGCUUCCGAUACGGGCAGACUAGAGGUAUGCAGGGGAGAACGGAAUUCCUGGUGUAGCGGUGAAAUGCGCAGAUAUCAGGAGGAACACCGGUGGCGAAGGCGGUUCUCUGGGCAAUAACUGACACUGAGGAGCGAAAGCGUGGGGAGCGAACAGG
rnacentral:rRNA from 1 species